rnacentral:rRNA from 1 species
CUAGAUGCUGACGAGCGGCGGACGGGUGAGUAAUGCAUAGGAAUCUGCCCGGUAGUGGGGGAUAACCUGGGGAAACCCAGGCUAAUACCGCAUACGUCCUACGGGAGAAAGGGGGCUUCGGCUCCCGCUAUUGGAUGAGCCUAUGUCGGAUUAGCUAGUUGGUGAGGUAAUGGCUCACCAAGGCGACGAUCCGUAGCUGGUCUGAGAGGAUGAUCAGCCACAUCGGGACUGAGACACGGCCCGAACUCCUACGGGAGGCAGCAGUGGGGAAUAUUGGACAAUGGGGGCAACCCUGAUCCAGCCAUGCCGCGUGUGUGAAGAAGGCCUUCGGGUUGUAAAGCACUUUCAGCGAGGAAGAACGCCUAGUGGUUAAUACCCAUUAGGAAAGACAUCACUCGCAGAAGAAGCACCGGCUAACUCCGUGCCAGCAGCCGCGGUAAUACGGAGGGUGCAAGCGUUAAUCGGAAUUACUGGGCGUAAAGCGCGCGUAGGUGGCUUGAUAAGCCGGUUGUGAAAGCCCCGGGCUCAACCUGGGAACGGCAUCCGGAACUGUCAGGCUAGAGUGCAGGAGAGGAAGGUAGAAUUCCCGGUGUAGCGGUGAAAUGCGUAGAGAUCGGGAGGAAUACCAGUGGCGAAGGCGGCCUUCUGG